CAGUCGCCGCGGUAAGACAGAGGAUGCAAGCGUUAUCCGGAAUGAUUGGGCGUAAAGCGUCUGUAGGUGGCUUUUCAAGUCCGCCGUCAAAUCCCAGGGCUCAACCCUGGACAGGCGGUGGAGACUACCAAGCUGGAGUACGGUAGGGGCAGAGGGAGUUUCCGGUGGAGCGGUGAAAUGCGUUGAGAUCGGAAAGAACACCAACGGCGAAAGCACUCUGCUGGGCCGACACUGACACUGAGAGACGAAAGCUAGGGGAGCAAAUGGGAUUAGAUACCCCCGUAGUCCCUGUCUCUUAUAC
rnacentral:rRNA from 1 species